rnacentral:lncRNA from 1 species
UGGUUCCCCACCGCUUCAUGCUCUUACUCUUUUAUUUGCUUUCCUUUAUUCAUUCCCAACUAUCUCUAAAGACUAUGCAAGUUAUUGGCUAGGGAUAUGGUAAUUCAUGGUUAUUUUGAUUCCUAUUCUUUCACAUGAUAUGAAUUGUGGAAACAAUUGGAAAUUUCAAAAUAGUUUUCCCCUUCCCUCCAUAUUUUUCAUAAAUUGAAAUUUUCAAAAUAGUUAUUCCGUGUGUAACGUUUUUCUUUUUGUUCUAUCUGAAAUUUAGGGUCUUGGGUUCUUGACGGUGUAUGCAACAUUAUUACCUUCUCCUGACAUUUCUGCCUGCCAACAGACUGAAAACUCCCUAACAUGUUCCCCUAAUCUAGUACAAGUAAUUUUAUUUUUCUUCUCCUUAUAUCUGGUGGCAUUUGCUCAAGGGGGACACAAACCUUGCGUCCAAGCUUUUGGCGCUGACCAAUUCGAUGGACAGCAUCCCGAAGAGAGCAAAGCUAAAAGCUCUUUCUUCAAUUGGUGGUACUUUGGUAUCUCUUUGGCCGGCUUAUUAACGGUUAAUAUCAUGAGCUAUGUGCAAGAUUAUCUCAGUUGGAGUCUUGGUUUCGGGAUUCUCUGUAUUGCAAUGGUUUUUGCACUUGCAAUCUUCUUGCUUGGAACUAGGACAUACAGGUUCAGUAACAGAGGAGAUGAGGAAAACCCAUUUGUAAGAAUUGGACGGGUGUUUAUCACUGCAAUAAGAAAUUGGCAUGUAAACUCUUCAGAAAUAGCUGAUUAUGUAGAGGAAACCCAUGGCCUUCUAUCGCACCAUAACUCUACACAGUUGAGGUGAUUCAAAUGUCUAAAAGAAGGGUUGAUUUGUCACCUCUAGAGUGUAUCUGUUCCCGUCAGAAAUGUUGUUCUUAAACGGAUGUACUAUGUAAUUGCCUUACAAACCAUGUGACCAUUUUCUUUACUGGAUUCUAUAAUUUUGCAGGUUUCUCAACAGAGCUUUGAUUGUACCUAAUAGUUUGAAAGAAGACGGUCGUGCAUGUAGCAUCAAUGAAGUUGAGGAAGCAAAAGCAGUACUGAGGCUCGUUCCAAUUUGGGUGACAUGCUUAGGAUAUGCUAUUGUAUUCUCCCAGUCGUCAACAUUCUUUAUAAAACAAGGAGUCACAAUGGACAGAUCAAUAGCAGGUGGAUUUAAAAUACCAGCUGCUUCACUUCAAUCUCUUAUCGGUCUCGGUAUUAUGAUUUCCCUCUUGAUAUAUGAUUGCAUACUCAUUCCAACUGCAAGAAAGUUCACGGGGAAUCCUUCUGGAAUUACAAUGCUACAAAGAAUUGGAUUUGGGAUGCUAUUAUCCAUCAUUUCCAUGGUUGUUGCUGCAUUAGUUGAGGGAAAAAGGCUCAAAACAGCUCAAGAAUAUGGUUUGGUUGAUAUGCCAAAGGCGACUAUUCCAUUAAGUAUAUGGUGGUUGGUUCCUCAAUACAUAUUAUUUGGAGUUGCUGAUACAUUCACCAUGGUUGGGUUGCAGGAGUUUUUCUAUGACCAAGUUCCGAGUGGAUUACGAAGCAUUGGUCUCUCCUUGUACUUGAGUAUUUUUGGAAUUGGCUACUUUUUAAGCAGCUUUCUCAUCUCUGCCAUUGAAAAGCUAACAAGUGGGUAUGGAAAACAAAGCUGGUUUGACAAUAAUCUCAACAAAGCUCAUCUCGAAUACUUCUACUGGUUGCUUGUUGUGCUUAGUGUUGUUGGGUUGGCUGCUUUCCUAUUUUCUGCCAGAACUUACAUCUAUAACAAGGGGAACACCACACUGGUUUAAUUUUGUUGGGUAUAUUUGGUUUGAAGGUUUGAGAGAGUUGGAAAAUGAAACCACUAAACUCCACUCUUGUUUAUCUUAACGUGAAAAAUAUCAAUUUUAUAUUUAAUACUUAAUGUUACAGAUCUAAAACCAUUUUUCUUUUUAUAUACUCAACAAACGUUCGUUUUUUUCUUCUUUCAGCAGUAUUCUCUUUGAUUCCAUUAAUUAUUCUUCUCCAGUGCACGCUUGAAUUGGAUAGUUGUGUUAAACCUUGGAAAACAGUAACCAGUAUAUGCUAUUUAGCAUCAAAGUCGAGCCAAAUUUUACGUGAUUCGACACGACACAACAAUAAUAAACAUUUAUUUAACAUCUUAAUAUAUGUCCGACUAAAAUCAACAACUCACUUUCUGUGGAAAGACAUAAAAUUGGUGGAAGAAAAGAAUUAGUCGAUUAUAAAAAGAUGAAUAAUUUUUAGCUGUUCAUUUUUCUAGAUAAAUUUUACUACCAACAAUAAAAUUAUCAAAUCUAAACAAUUAUAUUAAUAAAUAAUGAAAAUUUAAAAAAUAUAUAAAAAUAUAAAAUAUUUUUCUUUAAAUAAAAGAUGAAUGUAUCCAAGAACAAAAACAGUACAUGAUAUUUAUUUAUUUUUGGUUUGGUAGGUGCACAUCAUCGUCUCUCAACCACACAAAUUAACGGCCAUCAUCUCUCUACCGUACACGCUGAAUUGGUUUUUCUUUUCUUCGUCUUCUGUGCAUUUCCUUUCAGGUAGGCUCAAGGGUGUCGGUGCAACUUAAGCUCACGGCAGUGACGAAACCACCCAGUAAAGCAGCAGUGAGGCUUCCUUUUCUUGGCUGAUUAUCGACCUUCGGCUGUCAUCCUCGCCGCUUUUGGCCUCAAAUCAGUUUGUCCAUAUCUUGCAGAUGUUUCGAUAAUGCAAUAUAUAUGUGAGGCUUUUAUCUCUGUUGGAUAUUCAAAGCCUGGACUAAGUGGUGGUGUGUUCAAAGUUCAUGUAAUAAGAUUCUGAUUUGGAAGCCUUUCUAAUUAAUAAGUGUUCAACAAAAUGGAGGCUCCUCUAUUGGAUGAGACGGUGGAGGGGGCAGUUGAUUACAAUGGCCACCCGGUCUGCAGAUUCAAUUCUGGCGGCUGGAGAUCCGCCUCCCUCAUCAUAGGUAAAUCAUCAUUAGUUUCUUCUCUUUCUUCUCUUUCCCUAUCCAAUUUUUGUAUCCUCUCGAAUCGUAAUCAGGGGUGGAGGUUGCGGAGAGAUUCGCCUUCUAUGGAGCUUCCUCCAAUUUGAUUAACUUCUUAACGGACCAGCUCCAGCAGUCGACUGCCAUGGCAGCCAAGAAUGUCAACAUCUGGUCUGGUACCGCAGCCUUGCUACCUCUACUCGGCGCCUUUCUAGCUGAUUGCUUCCUUGGACGAUACCGUACCAUUGUUCUUUCCUCUGCUCUUUAUGUUCUGGUUCCUAAACCACUCUAUGCUCUAACUCUUUUAUUGCUUUUCUUUUCCAAAUCCAAACUAUAUAAAAUCUCAUAAGACUAUGCAAGUUAUUGGCUCGGGAUCUGUUAAUUCAGGAUUCUUUUGAUUCCUGUUCUUUCAUGUGAUACUCAAUAGUGGAAACAACCGGAAAUUUCAAAACAGUUCUCUUCAUAAAUUGAAACUUCCAUAAUAUUCAGUGUGUCACUUUUUGCUUUUGUUGUUUCUGGAAUUUAGGGCCUUGGGUUGUUGACCUUGUCUGCAGCAUUACCUUCUCUCGGCAUUUCUGCCUGCCAUGAGACUGAAAAAUUCCUGCCAUGCUCCCCGAAUCCCGUCCAAGUAAUUUUGUUUUUCUUCUCCUUAUAUCUGUUGGCAUUUGGUAAAGGGGGACACGAGCCUUGCAUCCAAGCUUUCGGAGCCGAUCAAUUUGAUGGACAGCAUCCAGAAGAGAGAAAAGCUAAAAGCUCUUUCUUCAAUUGGUGGUACUUGGGUAUCUCUUUGGCUUGCUUGUUAACUGUUAAUAUCAUGAGCUAUGUGCAAGAUAACCUCAGUUGGAGUCUUGGGUUUGGAAUUCCUUGUACUGCAAUGGUUUUUGGACUUGUAGUGUUCUUGCUUGGAACUAGGACGUACAGGUUCAGUAACAGAAGAGAUGAGGAAAACCCAUUUGUAAGAAUUGGACGGGUGUUUAUCACUGCAAUAAGAAAUUGGCAUGUAAACUCCUUAGAGAUAGCUCAUGAAGAGGAAAGUCAUGGCCUUUUGCCGCACCAUAACUCCAAACAGUUGAGGUAAAUUAAAUGUCCAAAAGAAGGGUAAAGUGUAUGCUUUGUCACCUCUAGAGUAUUUCUCUUCUCGCCAGAAAUGUUGUCCUUAAGUGGAUGUAUUAUGUAACUGCCUUAGAAACCAUGCAACCAUUUUCUUUAAUGGAUUCUCUAAUUUUGUAGGUUUCUCGACAAAGCUUUGAUUGUACCUAAUAGUUUAAAGGAAGAAUGUCGAGCAUGUAGCAUCAAUGAAGUUGAGGAAGCAAAAGCAGUGCUGAAGCUCGUUCCAAUUUGGGCAACAUGCUUAACAUAUGCUAUUGUAUUCUCCCAGUCGUCAACUUUCUUUAUAAAACAAGGAGUGACACUGGACAGAUCAAUAGUUGAUGGAUUUGAAGUACCAGCUGCUUCACUUCAAUCUUUUAUCAGUCUAGGUGUUGUCAUUUCCCUCGUAAUAUAUGAUCGCGUACUCAUUCCAACUGCAAGAAAGUUCACUCGAAAACCUUCUGGAAUUACAAUGCUACAAAGAAUUGGAUUUGGGAUGCUAUUAUCCAUCAUUUCCAUGGUUGUUGCUGCAUUAGUUGAGGGAAAAAGGCUCAAAACAGCUAAAGAAUAUGGCCUUGUUGAUCUACCAAAGGCGACUAUUCCUUUGAAUAUAUGGUGGUUGGUUCCUCAAUAUGUAUUAUUUGGAGUAGCCAGUACUUUCACCAUGGUUGGUUUGCAGGAGUUUUUCUAUGACCAAGUUCCAAGUGGAUUAAGAAGCAUUGGUGUCUCCUUGAACUUGAGUAUUUUUGGCACUGGUAGCUUUUUAAGCAGCUUUCUCGUCUUUGCCAUUGAAAAGUUAACUAGUGGGGAUGAGAAACAAAGCUGGUUUGACAAUAAUCUCAACAAAGCUCAUCUUGAUUACUUCUAUUGGUUGCUUGUUGGGCUUAGUGUUGUUGGGUUGGCUGCUUUCUUGUGUUUUGCAAGAACUUACAUCUAUAAUAAGGGGAAUACUACACAAGUAUAAUUUGGUAGAGUGUAUUUGGUUAGAGGAGUUGAGAAAUAGGAGUUGAAAAGUGAGAGCAGGAAACUACGUUCUUGUUCACUUUAAGAGGGUUUAUGGGUCAUACUACUAAAAAAAACAUAAAUUUAAUUUAUAAUCAACUAUUUCCGUCGUGAGUUCAAGAGUUUAUUAAUCUCCAGAUUUUGGGACUCUUACUAUUACAUUUCUUAUCUAUAACAACAUCCUCUUAGGGAGCAUUGCUAUCUAAAUCUAUGAGAUUUAAAAUACAUCUUUAUGUACUGAAAUUCAAUCGUUUGAAACUUAGACUUAGAAGUUUGGGAAUCCAAUUUUUAGAUUUGUCUUCAUAGUUAAUUACUUAGAAGUCUCUCUUGCUUUGUUGGAACAAAAAAUUACAUUAACAUUGAACUCCACGAUCGGUUAAUCCGGCAAUAAUCUUAAUUCAUAAGGUAAGUUUGUCAAUAAAGAUGAAAAUUUGUUGAUUUUGAUUGUUGCUUCAAGCUUUCCCUAUAGUUUGGAAAAUUUAGAACUAUCAAUCAUGAAAAAUAGUGUCCAUUUAUUAUAUGCAUUUAUUAGAUGUUUUAACAAUAUUUUAAAACUGAUACAAUUUAUCAUUGAAGAGGAAGGAGUCAUGCAGGAAGAUGGGAAUUAGAGAAUGAAACAGAUGAAGAUGUUAAAUAAUUUGAAGCUAAACACUACAUAUUUCAUACUUAUAUGUAGUUUAUUUUGAUAUGAAUAUCCACCCAAUGAAUAUUCUUAUAUAAAUUGUUUAAAAUGUAAUUAAAAAAUUAGUUUUGAGUAAUUUUUUAAUUUUUUUUUUUCAAAAGAACUUAUUUUUUAAAUUGUACACUUAAGAAUAUAAUCCAAACACUACUAAUGAUAGUAAAUCAUAAUUUAAAUUAAGUAUGCAUGAAAUCAAACUUAAGUAUUUAAAACAAUUUGGAUCAAAAUUAUAUGAGUAAUUAAAAAAAUAUUUAAAAAAAAGCAUGAACUUUGCACAUUCUUGAUUUAAUAUUAAGUUGAUUUUUGAAUACAAUAUUACCACAUGCUAUCAUUGCGUGUUACGAAAACUACAUUUCUUCAUUUAUUGUAACCAUUAAUGUGCAUCGCGUGUUACGAAAACUAUAUAAAACUUCAUUAUUUCUCUAACUAACCACCACACCUCCCUUCCCACUGGCCUUUCUCCCGGCCCCCGCUCCUCACCAGUUUUUCUCCGGCGACGCACUCCGCCAGCUUCAAGCUUCCGUCCACGCUGCGUUGUUUUGCCUUUUUUUUUUCUUUUUCUCCUCUGCAUUUCUCUACAGCUAGGCUCAAGGGCACGGUGCUACACAAGCUUAAGACAGUGGUGAAAGUAGUAACCGGGCGCUUUGACCCAUUAAUGCAGCGGUGAGGCUUCCUUCUCUUGGCUAAUUAUUGUCCUUCGGCUGUGAUCCACGCCGAUUAGAUUAGUUUUUCCAUUUCUUGAAGAUGACAGAAGGGCGAAUUCGAACUUAUUCGAUCACCAAUCAGAUUACAUUUGAUGCUGUUUAGCGUCUUUCGAUAGACUCGGAGUAGUUUCGUACCAAUGUGAACACCUUCUAGGAGAAAUUCAAGUAAAUUUUGGUAAGAUUUAAGUUAUGUUUAAACCCUUUCAAUCUCUAUUAAAGUAUGUUAGAUCAUUCUUAAACCGUUGGAAAGUCCUUGUUUGCAUUUUGUUUUGAACUUUUUGUUAGGCCACGAGAUACAGUAGAACAAUAUAUUUAUUUUGUUUCUAUCUUGAAAAUGCGAAGUUCUAAGCACAUUAUUGAUUUCGGUUUAGGUUUUGUAAAUGGCGUUUGGAUAAAGGGUCUCAUGAUGAAAUGGUUUUGAUAAUGCAAUAUAUGGGGUUUUGAACUCUGUUGGAUAUACUGGAGUAAUUGCUGAGGAGUGUUCAAACAUCAUUUGAAAGGAAUCUGAUUUGCAAGACUUUCUAACAACAAGUGUACCUCAAAAUGGAGGUUCCUCUUUUGGAUGAGACGGUGGAGGGCGUAGUUGAUUACCAUGGCCACCCAGUCUGCAGAUCCAUUUCCGGGGGCUGGAGGUCUGCCUCCCUAAUCAUAGGUAAAUCGUCAUUACUCUUUUCUCUUUCUUCGCUUUCCCUAUCCAACUUCUGCAUCCUCUUCCAUUGUGAUCAGCGGUGGAGAUUGCCGAGAGAUUUGCUUACUUUGGAGUUUCCUCAAAUUUGAUUAACUUCUUAACGGACCAGCUCCAUCAGUCAACGGCCACAGCAGCCAAGAAUGUCAACACCUGGUCCGGUACCGCCACCUUGCUACCUUUACUCGGGGCCUUUCUGGCUGAUUGCUUCCUUGGACGAUAUCGUACUAUUGUUCUUUCCUCUGCUCUUUACAUUCUGGUUCCCCACCACUUCAUGCUCUUACUCUUUUAUUUGCUUUCCUUUAUUCAUUCCCAACUAUCUCUAAAGACUAUGCAAGUUAUUGGCUAGGGAUAUGGUAAUUCAUGGUUAUUUUGAUUCCUAUUAUUUCACAUAAUACGAAUAGUGGAAACAAUUGGAAAUUGCAAAAUAGUAUUCCUCUUCCCUCCAUAUUUUUCAUAAAUUGAAAUUUUCAAAAUAGUUAUUCCGUGUGUAACUUUUUUCUUUGCGUUCUAUCUGAAAUUUAGGGUCUUGGGUUCUUGACUGUGUAUGCAACAUUACCUUCUCCUGACAUUUCUGCCUGCCAAGAGACUGAAAACUCCCUAACAUGUUCCCCCAAUCUAGUACAAGUAAUUUUAUUUUUCUUCUCCUUAUAUCUGGUGGCAUUUGCUCAAGGGGGACACAAACCUUGCGUCCAAGCUUUUGGCGCUGACCAAUUCGAUGGACAGCAUCCCGAAGAGAGCAAAGCUAAAAGCUCUUUCUUCAAUUGGUGGUACUUCGGUAUCUCUUUGGCCAGCCUUUUUACGGUUAAUAUCAUGAGCUAUGUGCAAGAUUAU